rnacentral:rRNA from 1 species
CCUACGGGAGGCAGCAGUGAGGAAUAUUGGUCAAUGGGCGAGAGCCUGAACCAGCCAAGUCGCGUGAGGGAGUACUGCCCUAUGGGUUGUAAACCUCUUUUGUCGGGGAGCAAAAGCCGGACGUGUCCGGCUGUGAGAGUACCCGAAGAAAAAGCAUCGGCUAACUCCGUGCCAGCAGCCGCGGUAAUACGGGGGAUGCGAGCGUUAUACGGAUUUAUUGGGUUAAAAGGGUGCGCAGGCGGAUUUUUAAGUCAGCGGUAAAAUCGUGGGGCUCAACCCCAUCCAGCCGUUGAAACUGGGGAUCUAGAGUGUGCGAGAGGGAUGCGGAAUGCGUGGUGUAGCGGUGAAAUGCAUAGAUAGCACGCGGAACCCCGAUUGCGAAGGCAGCAUACCGGUGCACAACUGACGCUCAGGCACGAAGGCGUGGGUAUCGAACAGGAUUAGAUACCCUGGUAGUC